UACGUAGGGUGCAGGCGUUAAUCGGAAUUACUGGGCGUAAAGCGUGCGCAGGCGGUUUGCUAAGUCCGACGUGAAAUCCCCAGGCUUAACCUGGGAACUGCGUCGGAUACUGGAUGGCUUGAAUCCGGGAGAGGGAUGCGGAAUUCCAGGUGUAGCGGUGAAAUGCGUAGAUAUCUGGAGGAACACCGGUGGCGAAGGCGGCAUCCUGGACCGGCAUUGACGCUGAGGAGCGAAAGCCAGGGGAGCAAACGGG
rnacentral:rRNA from 1 species